ACCUCUUCUCAUCAGUGCUGAACACAGAUAAAGAAAGAGCUGGGCUUUCCUGCUGCAUGUUGAGAAAAGGGAAGAGGAAAUAACAGCAAAGCAGUAAGCCAAGUGCAGAGGAGCCUUGACCAGGUCCUCAAAGGCCAGGGGCAAAAGCCUGCUCUGAGAUGCCUAUACCAAUGUGUUUGUUCACCCUGUGCCUCUCCACGAAGUUAAACCAAAACAUCCCCAUG
rnacentral:lncRNA from 1 species